rnacentral:rRNA from 1 species
AUCUGCAGAGAAGCAUAUUUGCAAAGCUGCAGAUCCCAUCUGAUCUUGGAAACUAAGCAGGAUGAGCUCUGUUUGGUACUUGGAUGGGAGACUGAAAUGGAAUAUCAGGUGCUGCAGGCU